rnacentral:rRNA from 1 species
UACGUAGGGUGCGAGCGUUAAUCGGAAUUACUGGGCGUAAAGUGUGCGCAGGCGGCCGAGCAAGUCGAGUGUGAAAGCCCCGAGCUUAACUUGGGAACUGCGCUCGAAACUACUUGGCUAGAGUGUGGCAGAGGGAGGUGGAAUUCCACGUGUAGCGGUGAAAUGCGUAGAUAUGUGGAGGAACACCGAUGGCGAAGGCAGCCUCCUGGGCCAACACUGACGCUCAUGCACGAAAGCGUGGGGAGCAAACAGG